GAGAAGCUGCUAUGAAAACAGCCUGUUGCGCUACUGAUAAGAGGCAAUGUAAACAAGAAAGCCAGGGAUUGACAAACAACCCUUGAGCACCAGGAUUCCUCAGGAUAUUGAUCGCAAGACAUUGCACAUAUAUGGUCUCCUUGUCCUGGCGAGUUAGAGGAAUAGCUGCCCUGCUCUGUGCUCAGCUGGGGAUUUCCAGAAGGAUGAGAGCUUUCCUUCCUGUCUCUCUGAUGAGUUUACCCGCCAGGACUUCGACAUGUGGAAGGCAGCUCAGCCUAUCUUGGUCAUACUGUGCUAUGAAAAUCUGCGGAAGACUCUUUGGCUGUACCUGGUGAAGGGGCUGACAGCCCUUCUCUGGGAAGUGGUUUUAUUGCACCAAAGUUAAAACUUCCCUGGCAUGUCUUUUGUCCUCACUCAGGAGACUCAGGUGUGCACACAGUCAUGGUGUUGCUUUAGAUGUAGACUGCUACAACCAUUUAUUAAAGAAUAAAA